rnacentral:rRNA from 1 species
AGCGGCGGACGGGUGAGUAAUGCCUAGGAAAUUGCCCUGAUGUGGGGGAUAACCAUUGGAAACGAUGGCUAAUACCGCAUAACGCCUACGGGCCAAAGAGGGGGACCUUCGGGCCUCUCGCGUCAGGAUAUGCCUAGGUGGGAUUAGCUAGUUGGUGAGGUAAGGGCUCACCAAGGCGACGAUCCCUAGCUGGUCUGAGAGGAUGAUCAGCCACACUGGAACUGAGACACGGUCCAGACUCCUACGGGAGGCAGCAGUGGGGAAUAUUGCACAAUGGGCGCAAGCCUGAUGCAGCCAUGCCGCGUGUGUGAAGAAGGCCUUCGGGUUGUAAAGCACUUUCAGUCGUGAGGAAGGUAGUGUAGUUAAUAGCUGCAUUAUUUGACGUUAGCGACAGAAGAAGCACCGGCUAACUCCGUGCCAGCAGCCGCGGUAAUACGGAGGGUGCGAGCGUUAAUCGGAAUUACUGGGCGUAAAGCGCAUGCAGGUGGUUUGUUAAGUCAGAUGUGAAAGCCCGGGGCUCAACCUCGGAAUUGCAUUUGAAACUGGCAGACUAGAGUACUGUAGAGGGGGGUAGAAUUUCAGGUGUAGCGGUGAAAUGCGUAGAGAUCUGAAGGAAUACCGGUGGCGAAGGCGGCCCCCUGGACAGAUACUGACACUCAGAUGCGAAAGCGUGGGGAGCAAACAGGAUUAGAUACCCUGGUAGUCCACGCCGUAAACGAUGUCUACUUGGAGGUUGUGGCCUUGAGCCGUGGCUUUCGGAGCUAACGCGUUAAGUAGACCGCCUGGGGAGUACGGUCGCAAGAUUAAAACUCAAAUGAAUUGACGGGGGCCCGCACAAGCGGUGGAGCAUGUGGUUUAAUUCGAUGCAACGCGAAGAACCUUACCUACUCUUGACAUCCAGAGAACUUUCCAGAGAUGGAUUGGUGCCUUCGGGAACUCUGAGACGGUGCUGCAUGGCUGUCGUCAGCUCGUGUUGUGAAAUGUUGGGUUAGUCCCGCACGAGCGCAACCCUUAUCCUGUUUGCCACCAGUAAUGUCGGGAACUCCGGGAGAUGCCGUGAUAACCGGAGGAGGUGGGACAACUCAGUCUUU